UAGUUGUUCCUGAACCUGGUGAUGUGGGACUUCAGGCAUCUGUACCACCUGCCUGAUGGUAGCGGUGAGUAUAGGAUUUG